rnacentral:miRNA from 12 species
GGGGGGGGGGGGGGGGGGGGGGGGGGGGGGGGGGGGGGGGGGGGGCCCGGACAGCCCCGACGGCAGCGGCUCCACCGCA